rnacentral:lncRNA from 1 species
GAAUCCUAAAUAAAUCUUGAUAAAUUCUAAUCAAAUCUUAAUCAAAUCCUAAAUAAAUCCUAAAUAAAUUCUAAUCAAAUUAAAUCAAACUUUAAAUUAAUCCUAAUAAAAACUUAAAUCCUAAUCAAAUACUAAUCAAAUUCUAAACUAAUCUUAAUAAAAUCCUAAAAACAUCCUAAAAAAAUCCUAAAAACAUCCUAAAAACAUCCUAAAAACAUCCUUAAAAAAUCUUUAAAAAUUCAAACUAAAUCUUAAUCAAUCUUUAUAGUAGUUUUAAAAUCUCAAUAAAUACUAAUUAAAUCAUUGAUUUUAAUUCAAAUUUUAUCCAUAUUUCAAUUCACAAGGAGUUAACAAGCAUACAAAAUUUAAAAAUAAUCAAACUCAUCAAUAAAAAGAAAUAGCUUCUAAAUCUUUUAGAAGUUGGUUGAUUUCCUUCUCUAACAUGGAUAUUGAUCUUUUAACAACAAUUUCUCCUUGUUGAACCAUUUAAUUACUUCAUAAUUUGGCUGAUAUAUAGAUUUUAAAGUAUAAAUUGCUAUCACCAAUUUUUGCUUCAAUUAAACUACUGGAUUUUUCAGGAUUAUAAAAAGCUUUACUAAUCCUAAAUUUUUAAAAUCCGAAAUCUCAAUCCAAUUAAAAUAUCAUAUCCUUUGAUC